GUCAGCGGCCAAGCGAAAGCAUUAAGUAUUCCACCUGGGGAGUACGCCGGCAACGGUGAAACUCAAAGGAAUUGACGGGGGCCCGCACAAGCGGAGGAACAUGUGGUUUAAUUCGAUGAUACGCGAGGAACCUUACCCGGGCUUAAAUUGCAACUGACUGAACCGGAAACGGUUCUUUCUUCGGACAGUUGUGAAGGUGCUGCAUGGUUGUCGUCAGCUCGUGCCGUGAGGUGUCGGCUUAAGUGCCAUAACGAGCGCAACCCUUAUCGAUAGUUACUAGCAGGUCAUGCUGAGGACUCUAUUGAGACUGCGUCGUAAGAUGUGAGGAAGGUGGGGAUGACGUCAAAUCAGCACGGCCCUUACGUCCGGGGCUACACACGUGUUACAAUGGGGGGUACAGAAGGCAGCUACACGGCGACGUGGUGCUAAUCCCUAAAGCCUCUCUCAGUUCGGAUUGGAGUCUGCAACCCGACUCCAUGAAGCUGGAUUCGCUAGUAAUCGCGCAUCAGCCACGGCGCGGUGAAUACGUUCCCGGGCCUUGUACACACCGCCCGUCAAGCCAUGAAAGCCGGGGGUACCUGAAGUACGUAACCGCGAGGAGCGUCCUAGGGUAAAACUGGUGAUUGGGGCUAAGUCGUAACAAGGUAGCCGUACCGGAAGGUGCGGCUGGAACACCUCCUUUCUGGA
rnacentral:rRNA from 1 species